rnacentral:misc_RNA from 2 species
AAACCAAUCCAGCCUCGUGCUUGGGUCUUGGGCCUUUCGCCUCUGGGCGGGCCUCAAAAUCAGUGGCGGUGCCGUCUGGCUCUAAGCGUAGUAAUACUCCUCGCUAUAGACGUCCGGUGGUGUCUUGCCAGUAACCCUUCUAUUUUUAAA